rnacentral:rRNA from 1 species
CCUACGUGUGGCAGCAGUCGAGAAUCAUUCACAAUGGGGGAAACCCUGAUGGUGCGACGCCGCGUGGGGGAAUGAAGGUCUUCGGAUUGUAAACCCCUGUCAUGUGGGAGCAAAUUAAAAAGAUAGUACCACAAGAGGAAGAGACGGCUAACUCUGUGCCAGCAGCCGCGGGUAUACAGAGGUCUCAAGGGGUGUUCGGAAUCACUGGGCGUAAAGCGUGCGUAUGCUGUUUCGUGAGUCGUGUGUUAAAAGGGCGGGCUCAACCCGCGGACGGCACAUGAUACUGCGAGACUAGAGUAAUGGAGGGGGAACCGGAAUUCGCGGUGUAGCAGUGAAAUGCGUAGAUAUCGAGAGGAACACUGGUGGCGAAGGCGGGUUCCUGGACAUUAACUGACGCUGAGGCACGAAGGCCAGGGGAGCGAAAGGGAUUAGAUACCCCUGUAGUC